rnacentral:misc_RNA from 1 species
UUUUAAGAAAUCAUUCUUGAGAUCAACCUUCAGGAGUUCAAUGUUUUCCAGCAAGUUUAGAUUUGAACCACUUGCUUCAUUCAUGUUCUCUUCUAAGUUACGGAAAAAAACAAAUACCUCCUUGGUAAGUUGUAUAACACGUGCCAAGAGAACAAACAAUUUGUCAUGACGAAUAACGGCCUUGAGCCCAUCAGUAAGAAUAAUCAAUAGGAACUCUAUCAUGACAUGAAUGUUACAUGUUGAAGCUCUAGGAGUAAGAGCAUUAAUCACCAUGUGCUCUUGUAGAUGAAUCAGAGAUUCUCUAAGAAUGUCCGGAGAGGUUUCUAGGAGCUGCUUGAUGAAAUGUCCAACUUCUUCCGACUUUGAACCUUCCAAAUUUGUACAACAUAGGUGCAUAACCUCCAGUGAAACAGGAAUAACCUCCACAAGUAGAUUAGCUAGAUUGGAUUUAACUAGAGAGACAUCAAGUUCAUCGAAUAUGGCCAGUUGACUAUACAAAAGAGUAAAACAGAAGUUUACUACUCUCUCCACCAUAAGUUGAAGAGGUAAGACAUAUACGAUUGCCUUAUACUCAUGAAGGAACUCAUUUACUUUCAACCUACAGAAAUCUCUUAAAUUGCCAAAUACAUUCUGAAGAAGCUCAAAUGGAGUCGUUAUUGAUGGGAAAAUCAACUUAGAGCACUUGUGUAGAUGUUGUAGAAACAUGAGGAUGGCAUCUAAAAUUUCAACCAAACGAUCCUCGGUCAUGGUUGGUUCAGAAUAGCUAUGUGAGCUAAUAUAACUUGUG